rnacentral:rRNA from 1 species
GAUGAACGCUGGCGGCGUGCCUAAUACAUGCAAGUCGAGCGAAUGGACUAAGAGCUUGCUCUUAUGAAGUUAGCGGCGGACGGGUGAGUAACACGUGGGUAACCUGCCCAUAAGACUGGGAUAACUCCGGGAAACCGGGGCUAAUACCGGAUAACAUUUUGAACCGCAUGGUUCGAAAUUGAAAGGCGGCUUCGGCUUGCACUUAUGGAUGGACCCGCGUCGCAUUAGCUAGUUGGUGAGGUAACGGCUAACCAAGGCAACGAUGCGUAGCCGACCUGGGGGGGUGAUCGGCCACACUGGGACUGAGACACGGCCCAGACUCCUACGGGAGGCAGCAGUAGGGAAUCUUCCGCAAUGGACGAAAGUCUGACGGAGCAACGCCGCGUGAGUGAUGAAGGCUUUCGGGUCGUAAAACUCUGUUGUUAGGGAAGAACAAGUGCUAGUUGAAUAAGCUGACACCUUGACGGUACCUAACCAGAAAGCCACGGCUAACUACGUGCCAGCCGCCGCGGUAA